rnacentral:misc_RNA from 1 species
GAUGAAGAACGUAGCGAAAUGCGAUAAGUAAUGCGAAUUGCAGAAUUCAGUGAGUCAUCGAAUCUUUGAACGCACAUUGCGCCCUGUGGUAUUCCGGCGGGCAUGCCUGUUCGAGCGUCAUUUCAACCCUCAAGCCCCCGGGUUUGGUGUUGGGGAUCGGCUCUGCCCUUCUGGGCGGUGCCGCCCCCGAAAUACAUUGGCGGUCUCGCUGCAGCCUCCAUUGCGUAGUAGCUAACACCUCGCAACUGGAACGCGGCGCGGCCAUGCCGUAAAACCCCAACUUCUGAAUGUUGACCUCGGAUCAGGUAGGAAUACCCGCUGAACUUAAGCAUAUCAAUAAGCGGAGGA